UACGUAGGGCGCAAGCGUUGUCCGGAAUUAUUGGGCGUAAAGAGCUCGUAGGCGGUUUGUCGCGUCUGGUGUGAAAACUCAAGGCUCAACCUUGAGCUUGCAUCGGGUACGGGCAGACUAGAGUGCGGUAGGGGUGACUGGAAUUCCUGGUGUAGCGGUGGAAUGCGCAGAUAUCAGGAGGAACAGACCGCAUGGCGGAAGGCAGGAU
rnacentral:rRNA from 1 species